UACCGCCGCCGAACCCUCCGAGUCCCGCGAAACGAGGAAAUCUCGGAGCUUCCUGGGAGCUGGGCGGUGACGACACGAGCGCACCUGUUCAGGGAUGCGCACCUGACCCGAGCGAAGAUCGUUUAUUGCUCAGAGCUGCGGUAACAGGAGCACGCCAUGUUGCACUCAAAGAUGAGCGGAGGUUCGAUUUUGUUGAACUCCUGAAGGAGCCGCUGGUCCUGAGGAGAGAAGAGCAACGUCAGCUGGAAGGAGAUUCUGAUGUUCUUCUCUGGAUGGACUACAUCUACGGUGGCCCGGGAGCUUUUGUGGAGUGUGGAAAUUCAAGUUUCUGUGUCAAGUUUCAAGUUUAAAUUAUAUUAAAUUCUCAAAAAGAACUAAGAGAUUAAAACAAUUAAAGGUUGAAAGUUGGAAUAACAUCUUA